rnacentral:tRNA from 1 species
UCCCUGGUGGCUCAGAUGGUAGAGAAUCUGCCUGCAAUGCAGGAGACCUAGGUUCGAUUCCUGGGUUGGGAA